GCCGGGCGUGGUGGCGUGCGCCUGUAGUCCCAGCUACUCAGGAGGCUGAGGCAGGAGAAUCGCUUGAGCCUGGGAGGCAGAGGUUGCAGUGAGCUGAGAUCAUGCCACUGCACUCCAGCCUGGGUGACAGAGUGAGACUCUGUCUCAC
rnacentral:sRNA from 1 species